GGAAAAGGCAAGCAAUAUAAUGUAAAGUGCAUCUUUUUUCAGUGAAACAUCAAACCAUCUGAUCAGAUCAUUGCGAUAUUCAUAAAAUCGGCUGCAUAAAUAUGUUGGAUUAACUAAUUCUUAGUAAUAUAUGAGUUACUGACAAGUUGUGAUGUUUAGAAGCCACAAUUGAUUAACAAUGCUAAAAAUUCAGUAGUAGCUCAACAUUAUUUUGUUUGAGUAGGGAAUGAGAGAGUGAUGACUCAAAUCUGA
rnacentral:misc_RNA from 1 species